GACGAACGCUGGCGGCGUGCUUAACACAUGCAAGUCGAACGGAAAGGCCCUGCGUUUGUGGGGUGCUCGAGUGGCGAACGGGUGAGUAACACGUGAGUAACCUGCCCUUGACUUUGGGAUAACUUCAGGAAACUGGGGCUAAUACCGGAUAGGAGCUCCUGCUGCGUGUGGGGGGUUGGAAAGAGUCGGCGGUUGUGGGUGGGCUGGCUGGUUAUCAGCUUGAUGGUGGGGUAGUGGCUUACCAAGGCUUUGACGGGUAGCCGGCCUGAGAGGGUGACCGGCCACCCUGGGACUGAGAUACGGCCCAGACUCCUACGGGGGGCAGCAGUGGGGAAGCUUGCAGAAUGGGCGGAAGGCGAAUGCAGCAACGCCGCGUGCGGGAAGACGGCCUUCGGGUUGUAAACCGCUUUCGCCUGUGACGAAGCGUGAGUGAAGGUAAUGGGUAAAGAAGCACCGGCUAACUACGUG
rnacentral:rRNA from 1 species